GGGGGUGGUGGAUUUGGCACCAUGGGCAGUGGACUUGGGCAGUCUGCCGUGGUUAAUGGAAUUAGAGCUGCAAUGGGCAGUAACUCUCUGAUAAAUGGACGGGUUAGUGUGCCAUCUAUGGUUCGAGACCAAAGCCUGAAUCAUCAACAAGAUUUGGGGAACCAACUGCUUAAUGGCCUAGGAGCAGUUAAUGGUUUUAAUAAUCUUCCGUAUGAUUGGAAACCUUCCCCUUGAAGGCGCUAUCAAUGAUACUGGUGUUUCAGUUCGUGAUUUUAGCUGCUUGUGCAGCAUGAGCGUGGGCAUAAUUUCCUACAGCCCUGUGAAGAUGGCAUUUCACGGUGGAAUAGUUUCAGGGCUAAUUUCCCACUUUGUACUAAUUUCAGGAAAAA
rnacentral:misc_RNA from 1 species